UGCAAGUCGAACGCAGUAGCAAUACUGAGUGGCAAACGGGUGAGUAUAAUGUGGGAAUCUGCCUUUUGGUUUGGAAUAACACGGGGAAACUUGUGCUAAUACCGAAUAAGCCCUUACGGGGAAAGUUUUAACGCCGAAAGAUGAGCCUGCACUUGAUUAGCUAGUUGGUAAGGUAAAGGCUUACCAAGGCAACGAUCAAUAGCUGUUCUUAGAGGAAGACCAGCCACAUUGGGACUGAGACACGGCCCAGACUCCUACGGGAGGCAGCAGUGGGGAAUCUUGCACAAUGGGGGAAACCCUGACGCAGCGAUGCCGCGUGAGUGAAGAAGGCCCUUGGGUUGUAAAACUCUUUCGUCGGGGAAGAAAAUGACUGUACCCGAAUAAGAAGGUCCGGCUAACUUCGUGCCAGCAGCCGCGGUAAUACGAAGGGACCUAGCGUAGUUCGGAAUUACUGGGCUUAAAGAGCUCGUAGGUGGUUAAAAAAGUUGAUGGUGAAAUCCCAAGGCUCAACCUUGGAACUGCCAUCAAAACUUUUUAGCUAGAGUGUGAUAGAGGUAAGUGGAAUUUCUAGUGUAGAGGUGAAAUUCGUAGAUAUUAGAAAGAACACCAAAUGCGAAGGCAACUUACUGGGUCACUACUGACACUGAGGAGCGAAAGCAUGGGUAGCGAAGAGGAUUAGAUACCCUCGUAGUCCAUGCCGUAAACGAUGUGUGCUAGACGUUGGAAAUAUAUUUUUCAGUGUCGCAGCGAAAGCAUUAAGCACACCGCCUGGGGAGUACGACCGCAAGGUUAAAACUCAAAUGAAUUGACGGGGACCCGCACAAGCAGUGGAGCAUGUGGUUUAAUUCGAAGAUACGCGCAGAACCUUACCAACACUUGACAUGUUCGUCGCGAAACUAAGAGAUUAGUUUUUUCAGUUAGGCUGGACGAAACACAGGUGCUGCAUGGCUGUCGUCAGCUC
rnacentral:rRNA from 1 species